GAUCCUGGCUCAGGAUGAACGCUGGCGGCGCGCUUAACACAUGCAAGUCGAACGGUUAAAGCACCUCCGGGUGUGCACAAAGUGGCGAACGGCUGAGUAACACGUGGGCAACCUGCCCCCCGCACCGGGAUAGCCUCGGGAAACCGUGGGUAAUACCGGAUACUCCGCCACCCCCGCAUGGGGGAGGCGGGAAACGCGUAUACGGCGGGGGAUGGGCCCGCGGCCUGUUAGCUCGUUGGCGGGGUAACGGCCCACCAAGGCGAUUAUGGGUAGCCGGGUUGAGAGACCGACCGGCCAGAUUGGGACUGAGACACGGCCCAGACUCCUACGGGAGGCAGCAGUGGGGAAUCUUGCACAAUGGGCGAAAGCCUGAUUGCAGCGACGCCGCGUGCGGGACGAAGGCCCUCGGGUUGUAAACCGCUUUCAGCAGGGACGAGGCGCAAGUGACGGUACCUGCAGAAGAAGCCCCGGCUAACUACGUGCCAGCCGCCGC
rnacentral:rRNA from 1 species